rnacentral:tRNA from 1 species
CGCUGUCCGGGCAGGCGUUGAUGGCCGCUGCCGACACGGCGGUGGUCAUUGCCGUUUCGGGGGCCAAGGGCGGGUUCGUCCCCAUGACGACGG